ACACGGUCCGGUCUAAUGUUGUGAAAGCUGCAGGGAAGGAACGACAGCACCAUUAUGAUGAACCAAUGAAGCAGACCGGGGCGCGCUUUCUCCCCCAAAGCAGCCAUCAAUCCCGCAUCGAUCCCCGCCCUGUUUGUCCCAGAGCUCUCGGCAGACCUGCACUUUUGCCGCCGCGACCUUCCUCGUCCUCCCUCCAGCCGACGCCACAGUGGGAGGCAGGCUUGGGCAGGAGAGCCAUGACAUCACCCCUCCUGCAUGCAAAGGCACAAAGGCGAGGAGCAGCUGCAGGAGGACGACGAUGAUGUUGCAGAGCUCGCCAAGGAGACCCGGCGCGGCUGCUGCUGCUGCUGCUCACCCUGCUCUCGCUUUCCUUUUCCUCCUCCUCCUCCUCCUCCGCCUCUAACUAAGCCUCCGGCUCGCCGCCUGCUUCUCCCCCCCGAUGCAGACGCCUGCCCUGGCUGCGCCCGUGCUCGUUGGGGGAACCGGGAUCCAGCGCCGCCCUCGCCGCGCAGCAUGCCCUGGGGGAUUGGCUUCGCCUCGUCCAGGUCGUGCGUGGUGGAUCUCAGCCGGAACCAGAGCCUCUGGUGCGCGGGCUCCGACGAGCGCUUCUCCUUUUAUGGGGAGAUCAUCGCUUUCCCUCUGCAGGAUUACGGCGGGGUCAUGGCCGGGCUGGGGUCCGAUUCGUGGUGGAAGAAAACCCUCUAUCUGACCGGGGGAGCCUUGCUCGCCGCCGCCGCCUACCUGCUCCACGAACUCCUGGCCAUCAGGAAAGAGCAAGAGGUUGAUUCAAAAGAUGCUAUUAUACUGCAUCAGUUUUCAAGGCCAAACAAUGGUAUUCCGAGUUUAUCUCCUUUCUGUUUGAAAAUGGAGACUUACUUAAGGAUGGCUGAUUUGCCCUACCAGAACUACUUCGAUGGAAAACUUUCCCCUCAAGGGAAAAUGCCGUGGAUUGAAUACAAUUGCAAAAAAGUGUCCGGCACAGAAUUCAUUAUUGAUUUUCUGGAAGAGAAGCUUGGAGUCAAUUUAAACAAACAUCUUGGCCCGCAUGAAAGAGCUGUUUCUAGAGCUGUUACAAAAAUGGUGGAGGAGCAUUUUUACUGGACUUUAGCAUAUUGCCAGUGGGUGGACAAUCUCCAUGAGACUCAGAAGAUGCUUUCCUUUACUGGUCCUUUUAGUGACCUGCUGAAGUGGAUUCUCUGCCAUAUAACGAAAGGAAUAGUGAGGCGGGAAAUGUACGGCCACGGCAUCGGCCGCUUCUCUGAGGAAGAGAUCUACAGGCUGAUGGAGAAAGACAUGCGCUCUCUGGCGGGUCUUCUGGGUAAUGUGACAAGAAGUACAUCAUGGGGCCCAAACUUUCCACUUUAGAUGCUACAGUCUUUGGACAUCUAGCACAGGCAAUGUGGACACUGCCAGGAACUAGGCCAGAGAGACUAAUUAAAGGAGAAUGAUUAACCUUGCUAUGUACUGUGAGAGAUAAGGAGGAAAUUUUGGCCAGAAUGGCACCAUGAUGAUGACAACACUCUGUAUGAGUCAGAAGAAAGCAGCGAAGCAGUAAGACUCAACCAUUGCAGGACUUCAGUUUUACUCAAGGA